rnacentral:lncRNA from 1 species
AUGUUAAAAUCUACCUGCAUCCUGCGGGGCCGCGGGUUUCCCUGUGAGACGGGAGGCUGUUCGCUGCGGUUAGCUGAGACCUUGCUUAAAGGUCCCAGCAGUGCCCCGGCACCGGGCUGCGAGCCCCUGGGGGGGGAAAGCGCCUCGGGUCGGCCCUUGGGGAGCUGCCUUCACCGGGCAGCAGCCCCUGCAGGGCUUCUGGGCAAGGGGGAAAAAGGAGGAAAACCCGACCCUCCCCGAGGCGUGAAGCUUCCCCGUGCGGCUUUUAGGGGUGGAGAACAAGUGUUCCUAACGUACCCCGGGGAGAGAGGCUUUCUGAGCCCGGUGGGGCUCAGCAGGGACCUGGAGGGGGCCGGGCGGGGGGAGCUCCGUGUCCCCAGCCCUUCCCUACCCCCCCUGGCUGAGCCCCCGCCGCCGAGCCCCGGCCGCGGCGCUUCCGACGGCUGCGGGCCGGGAUGCUGCCCGGCCGCGCUGGGGGGGGCUGGUGCUGAGCGGGGCGCUGCGUUAAAGGGCGUUUGGGGAGGAAAAUUAAUGAUGAGAAUCGACUGCGCUCCUUCUGGGCUGCUUUCUAGUGCCCUUCUCCCUAGGAAAGUUGCCCACUCUUGCCAGAAAGGCACCUUGACGCUAGAACGGAUUUUCUGCUCUCUGGUGGUCCAACAGAUACGCCCCGCUGGGUUUAGCGUUCAGGAGCGUAGGGGCAGGGAGGGAUGUGCGAGGGUUUCGGGGAUGUUUGGGGCAGGGAUGCCUGGAAGCCUGGCAGUGCCUAGCCUCAGCACCGCCUGGCGAGCGGUCUCUCUUCCCUACACCCGUUUUAUUGCGUGCCCCCGGGUGAACCAAAACCGCUCAAGGAGGGGCUUUGGCCGGAGCUCCCCCCCGCACCGCCCCGUCCCCGGCCUUGGCCGCCUUCCCUUAGGGCAACACCGCAGGAACCCAGCGCCGGGGCCGGCUGGCAGCGGGCUCCUUUCGAGAGCCACAGGAGCCCCUUUUCUGCGCUCCCCCCGCGGUCUGCGGGGCUCCGCGGCAGCCGGCGGGGAUGCUGCGGGGUUUGGCUGCGCCCCACCUGCACGGGGCUCCGGUGCUGCCUCGUACAGGAUAACAGAAAGCGGUGCGGGAGCCCCGGUUCGGGAUUAA